rnacentral:misc_RNA from 1 species
CCUUAUCAUUUAGAGGAAGGAGAAGUCGUAACAAGGUUUCCGUAGGUGNACCUGCGGAAGGAUCAUUUUCGAAACCUGCACAGCAGAACGACCCGCGAACGUGUUUUUUACGACGGCGGCGGGGCGCUCUCGCGGGUGCCCCGGCGCCAUCAGGGUGAGCGCGUGCCGAUCCCUUCGCGGGGGGAGGCGGGCGCUUUCCCCUGCAAAAAUAACGAACCCCGGCGCGAACCGCGCCAAGGAACACGAACGAAAGAGCGAGCCCGCGAAGCCCCGUCCGCGGGCGCGAUCGCGGGCCGGCAUCUUCCUUUAUCGAAACCGAACGACUCUCGACAACGGAUAUCUCGGCUCUCGCAUCGAUGAAGAACGUAGUGAAAUGCGAUACUUGGUGUGAAUUGCAGAAUCCCGUGAACCAUCGAGUCUUUGAACGCAAGUUGCGCCCGAAGCCGUCAGGCCGAGGGCACGUCUGCCUGGGCGUCUCACAUCGCGUCGCCCCCCUCACCACCCCACCACACACUUCGGUGACGGUGGGCGGGGGGCGGACAGUGGCCCCCCGUGCGCUCGCUCACAGCACAGUGUGCGGUCGGCCGAAAAAACGAGUCGCCGGCGACGGACGUCACGACAAGUGGUGGUUGAGACGGAACCUUAAGCGUCCUGUCGUGCGUGCCGCAGUCGCCAGCGCGAUGCUCGCGCGACCCUUAACGCGCCGUCACCGACGGUGCCUCGACCGCGACCCCAGGUCAGGCGGGACUACCCGCUGAGUUUAAGCAUAUCAAUAA